UGUGGGAAUUAUGCCUCACCUGGUGAAAGCUUCUGUGCCACACCAUUCUGUUGUCAUCAAGGGUGAAUGGCUGGUCAGGUGUAGCCUCCACACCAACCCUUCCAACCUUCACCUUCAUGAAGGAGUUAUUUGGAAAAGUGACCAGGUUGGUGAUAUCAAAGCCAGCUUCUACUUCCCUGUUCUUACUAAAAGAUACUGUUUCCCCAGCAGAGUUGUUAAAGGAGACACUCCUAAGAAAGGGAUGGAGCUGCAUUGAAAGAAAAAGAGUAACUUUGAAGUAAUGCAAAUGUCUCUCCUUUCUCACAUUCAGGAUGCCUCCAGACUGUCAACACAGGGAGGUAGUGCCAUGCAAAUAUAAUCUGUUUUCUGAGAAAUGGUUUGUAGGGCGAGCAUUCACAUACUGAGCCAAUGAUCUCCAUUGUUUCCUAUGGGGAAAAUCCCAAUGCAUGACUGACCAUGCUUGGAUAUCUACACACACACACACACACACACACACACACACACACACACACUGCCCAACUAGCCUCAUAUAACCUUCAUUCUUGUGUCUAACAAAUACAUAAAGGGUUUAAUGUCGUUAGAAAAAGGUGUUCUGACAGACUUGGCCUAUGUCCCAGCCCCUUAUCUUUUGAAGAAAUGGGCAACAAAGCCUAUUGUUCUGCUCACUCUAUAUGUGAAUUUCGUUUGUGUGGAGUUCUGAGAUGCUCCCUACAGCCACAUGGAAUUAAGAAGCCUGUUUAUUUCAGACAAGAAUGUAAUCUGAAACUACCAUUUUCUAUACCAAUAGAAAGAUUAGGAACUUUUACCAUUUUGUCUUCUACUUCUGCAACAUUUUUCUGAGUGUUGUGUUCCAUAAAACUUUUGAACUUAGAAGAGUUUUGUAAGUAAACCACAUUACGACCUGCUAAGCUUGUGAUCUAUUUUUGUGCUAGGAAAGUGGGAUUUUCUGGAAUUCACUGGAAAGGGCAUAUUUUACGGUUUUACAUCCUAUAUUUCCAUGCUUCUGUUUGCUGCAUGUUUUCCCAUGCACACAAAGGAAGUUGCUCACAAAACAACUGGAGAGUGCAGGGUUGGAUCCGCCUGCUAAACAGCUGUAAGCAGAACAGUCUGACUCUUCACUGAGCUAGUCCUGAAUGAGCAGCUUCUCCGCACACAAAUGGAGAAUGUGGAGAUUAAAAUUUUUCAGGGUACUGUUUUGCAUAUCACUGCCUAUGUCAAAUAAAUGAUAUCAAAUGACAGGGAUUACCUGACAAGGCCAAAACUCCUGCAUCUCUCCUUCCACCAUUCUCCUAUAUUUGGCUCCAGGCAGAAACAUGGCAUGUAGAGCAUGUGCUAUGGCAUAGACAGCAGUAUAGAGACUGUAGCUGUGGCCAGACAUGGUCAUCUCAAAAGCAGACGAAGGGAGAUUCUCCAGCUUCUCCUCUCCAGUGCAGGUUUCACUGGCCUGCUCCUUUGUACUGGAGUAUGGAAAUAAACAGAGAAAGACUUGUGCCCAGAACUGCUUGACAAAGCCAUUUCCAUUUGCCUCAAAAGGAUUUUGUGCCUGAAGAAAGGCUUUGAAUCCUUGUACCACAUUUGAAUGAACUGCAAAGGAGAGGGAACCCUGGAAGAUUUGCAUAUCCAGGCUCAUUUGCAAGGGCGGUGCUGUGAAAUCCAGUUGUGCUGUCAAAAUCCACACCUUGCCAUCAGAUGUCUUGGUCACAUUUUCCAUUUCACCUAGUGCUAUCAUUGUCUGCAAUACAAGCAUGGACUUUGUUCCUCCAUAGACAACCACCACCUUGGCUUUACUUUCCCUAAUAGCUUGAUAAAUUUGGAUCCAGUGGAAAUACAUGAGAUAGUACUCAGCCAAAUGUGUUUUUUUCAGGUUUGUCUCUGAGAAGGCCAAGCAAAUACCUUUCUGGGAGAGCAGAGGUUUCAGCGUCUGAAUAAAUCUCUCUCCACUUUCUGCAGCAAGCAACCCAACCCAC